AUUGAACGCUGGCGGCAGGCUUAACACAUGCAAGUCGAGCGAGCGGCGGACGGGUGAGUAAUGUCUGGGAAACUGCCUGAUGGAGGGGGAUAACUACUGGAAACGGUAGCUAAUACCGCAUACCAUCAGAUGUGCCCAGAUGGGAUUAGCUGGUAGGUGGGGUAAUGGCUCGCCUAGGCGGCGAGCCCUAGCUGGUCUGAUAGGAUGACCAGCCACAUUGGAACUGGGACACGGUCAAGACGCCUACGGGAGGAAGCAGGGGGGAAUAUUGCACAAUGGGCGCAAGCUUGAUGCAGCCAGGCCGCGUGGGUGAAGAAGGCCUUCGGGUUGUAAAGCACUUUCAGCGAGGAGGCGUUACUCGCAGAAGAAGCACCGGCUAACUCCGUGCCAGCAGCCGCGGUAAUAC
rnacentral:rRNA from 1 species